rnacentral:rRNA from 1 species
UCACGUGCUACAAUGGCAUAUACAAUGAGAAGCAAUACCGCGAGGUGGAGCAGAUCUAUAAAAUAUGUCUUAGUUCGGAUUGUUCUCUNNAANCUCGAGAGCAUGAAGCC